CAAAUCAGGUAGGACUACCCGCUGAACUUAAGCAUAUCAAUAAGCGGAGGAAAAGAAACUAACAAGGAUUCCCCUAGUAACUGCGAGUGAAGCGGGAAAAGCUCAAAUUUGUAAUCUGGCGGUCUUUGGCCGUCCGAAUUGUAAACUAGAGAAGUGUUAUCCGCGUUGGACCGUGUACAAGUCCCCUGGAAUGGGGCGUCAUAGAGGGUGAGAAUCCCGUCUUUGACACGGACUACCAAGGCUUUGUGAUGCGCUCUCAAAGAGUCGAGUUGUUUGGGAAUGCAGCUCAAAAUGGGUGGUAAAUUCCAUCUAAAGCUAAAUAUUGGCGAGAGACCGAUAGCGAACAAGUACCGUGAGGGAAAGAUGAAAAGAACUUUGGAAAGAGAGUUAAACAGUACGUGAAAUUGCUGAAAGGGAAACGCUUGAAGUCAGUCGCGUUAGCGAGGGAUCAGCCUUACUUUUGUGGGGUGUACUUCCUCGUUGACGGGUCAGCAUCAGUUUUGGCUGCUGGAUAAAGGCCAGGGGAAUGUGGCAUCUUCGGAUGUGUUAUAGCCCUUGGUUGGAUACAGUGGCUGGGACUGAGGAACUCAGCACGCGCAAGUUGUGCUUAGGAUGCUGGCAAAA
rnacentral:rRNA from 1 species